rnacentral:rRNA from 1 species
AAGGCUAAAUACUCCUGACUGACCGAUAGUGAACCAGUACCGUGAGGGAAAGGCGAAAAGAACCCCGGCGAGGGGAGUGAAAAAGAACCUGAAACCGUGUACGUACAAGCAGUGGGAGCACGCUUAGGCGUGUGACUGCGUACCUUUUGUAUAAUGGGUCAGCGACUUAUAUUCUGUAGCAAGGUUAACCGAAUAGGGGAGCCGAAGGGAAACCGAGUCUUAACUGGGCGUUAAGUUGCAGGGUAUAGACCCGAAACCCGGUGAUCUAGCCAUGGGCAGGUUGAAGGUUGGGUAACACUAACUGGAGGACCGAACCGACUAAUGUUGAAAAAUUAGCGGAUGACUUGUGGCUGGGGGUGAAAGGCCAAUCAAACCGGGAGAUAGCUGGUUCUCCCCGAAAGCUAUUUAGGUAGCGCCUCGUGAAUUCAUCUCCGGGGGUAGAGCACUGUUUCGGCAAGGGGGUCAUCCCGACUUACCAACCCGAUGCAAACUGCGAAUACCGGAGAAUGUUAUCACGGGAGACACACGGCGGGUGCUAACGUCCGUCGUGAAGAGGGAAACAACCCAGACCGCCAGCUAAGGUCCCAAAGUCAUGGUUAAGUGGGAAACGAUGUGGGAAGGCCCAGACAGCCAGGAUGUUGGCUUAGAAGCAGCCAUCAUUUAAAGAAAGCGUAAUAGCUCACUGGUCGAGUCGGCCUGCGCGGAAGAUGUAACGGGGCUAAACCAUGCACCGAAGCUGCGGCAGCGACGCUGAUGCGUUGUUGGGUAGGGGAGCGUUCUGUAAGCCUGCGAAGGUGUGCUGUGAGGCAUGCUGGAGGUAUCAGAAGUGCGAAUGCUGACAUAAGUAACGAUAAAGCGGGUGAAAAGCCCGCUCGCCGGAAGACCAAGGGUUCCUGUCCAACGUUAAUCGGGGCAGGGUGAGUCGACCCCUAAGGCGAGGCCGAAAGGCGUAGUCGAUGGGAAACAGGUUAAUAUUCCUGUACUUGGUGUUACUGCGAAGGGGGGACGGAGAAGGCUAUGUUGGCCGGGCGACGGUUGUCCCGGUUUAAGCGUGUAGGCUGGUUUUCCAGGCAAAUCCGGAAAAUCAAGGCUGAGGCGUGAUGACGAGGCACUACGGUGCUGAAGCAACAAAUGCCCUGCUUCCAGGAAAAGCCUCUAAGCAUCAGGUAACAUCAAAUCGUACCCCAAACCGACACAGGUGGUCAGGUAGAGAAUACCAAGGCGCUUGAGAGAACUCGGGUGAAGGAACUAGGCAAAAUGGUGCCGUAACUUCGGGAGAAGGCACGCUGAUACGUAGGUGAAGUCCCUCGCGGAUGGAGCUGAAAUCAGUCGAAGAUACCAGCUGGCUGCAACUGUUUAUUAAAAACACAGCACUGUGCAAACACGAAAGUGGACGUAUACGGUGUGACGCCUGCCCGGUGCCGGAAGGUUAAUUGAUGGGGUCAGCGCAAGCGAAGCUCUUGAUCGAAGCCCCGGUAAACGGCGGCCGUAACUAUAACGGUCCUAAGGUAGCGAAAUUCCUUGUCGGGUAAGUUCCGACCUGCACGAAUGGCGUAAUGAUGGCCAGGCUGUCUCCACCCGAGACUCAGUGAAAUUGAACUCGCUGUGAAGAUGCAGUGUACCCGCGGCAAGACGGAAAGACCCCGUGAACCUUUACUAUAGCUUGACACUGAACAUUGAGCCUUGAUGUGUAGGAUAGGUGGGAGGCUUUGAAGUGUGGACGCCAGUCUGCAUGGAGCCGACCUUGAAAUACCACCCUUUAAUGUUUGAUGUUCUAACGUUGACCCGUAAUCCGGGUUGCGGACAGUGUCUGGUGGGUAGUUUGACUGGGGCGGUCUCCUCCUAAAGAGUAACGGAGGAGCACGAAGGUUGGCUAAUCCUGGUCGGACAUCAGGAGGUUAGUGCAAUGGCAUAAGCCAGCUUGACUGCGAGCGUGACGGCGCGAGCAGGUGCGAAAGCAGGUCAUAGUGAUCCGGUGGUUCUGAAUGGAAGGGCCAUCGCUCAACGGAUAAAAGGUACUCCGGGGAUAACAGGCUGAUACCGCCCAAGAGUUCAUAUCGACGGCGGUGUUUGGCACCUCGAUGUCGGCUCAUCACAUCCUGGGGCUGAAGUAGGUCCCAAGGGUAUGGCUGUUCGCCAUUUAAAGUGGUACGCGAGCUGGGUUUAGAACGUCGUGAGACAGUUCGGUCCCUA